rnacentral:rRNA from 1 species
AUUGAACGCUGGCGGCAUGCUUUACACAUGCAAGUCGAACGGCAGCGCGGGGGCAACCCUGGCGGCGAGUGGCGAACGGGUGAGUAAUGCAUCGGAACGUAUCCUGUAAUGGGGGAUAACGUAGCGAAAGUUACGCUAAUACCGCAUACGCUCGAGAGAGGAAAGUGGGGGAUCGCAAGACCUCACGUUAUAGGAGCGGCCGAUGUCCGAUUGGCUAGUUGGUGGGGUAAAGGCCUACCAAGGCGACGAUCGGUAGCUGGUCUGAGAGGAUGAUCAGCCACACUGGGACUGAGACACGGCCCAGACUCCUACGGGAGGCAGCAGUGGGGAAUUUUUGGACAAAUGGGCGAAAGCCUGAUCCAGCCAUGCCGCGUGCGGGAAGAAGGCCUC